UUUUUUUUGGUUUUCCAAGUUUAUGGCACUUUAAAACUAUUUGUGUGUUUUCAGCACAAGUCUCGCAGUGCAAUACCGGACACCUUUAUAGAUUCGGCAAAAACAUUCUCGGAUCUCACUAUAUAUGCAUUGGUUUCAAAUUGUGUCUUCGGUCAAUAGUUGGGUUGCCCCGGCUCCUGCGCUUGCCUCCUACGUUCCGUUUUGUUCGGCUAGGUGUGCAAAGGGAGAACCACUGUGAUUGUGCUUCCAGCUCACAUGGUUAAGCAUCUCAGUGGAGAAAGCCGAAAACUUACUGUCACAAUAAGCGUAAAGUGGUCAGCAAUCCGAUGACAGUGUUAAAUGACGGGCCAUUCAUAACAAUGGUCGAAGUGUUUACAGCUUGACCUCGACUGUCGUCGAACACUACCGGGGGCUAUUAACUGGCCUCCCAAACUAAAUCCUCGAUAUUUUGCUCUUACAUUAGAGCUGAGGUUGCAUGAUCAUGCUUAGCAUGAUAACCCAAAGAAAGGAACCGAUAACGGGACUAUUUUCUUUGGAAGACAUUUCUUAUGUUGAACACUAAUAUAACAUAUCUCUCUGUGUACCUUUGUUUAUAAAACUGUAUGGCCAGAUUGCCUUGUUUGUCUUGCCCUCAUAAAGGCUUUAUAAAGUAGGACAAACACUCCUCGGCUACUGGCCGAGGAGGCGGAAGCCGAUGGUCGGUCAACAAAAUUUUGUACAAUGCGGGUCCGAGCAUUAAUGACGUAAAGUACUUGGAUACAUAGAGUCAUUACACAUAAUUUAUGAUUUUACUAUGGAUAUCGAUCCUUAAUUCGGCCACCCGUGCCCGCAUUAAGGCUCGGGCGCUACUGGGCUUCGGGCUUAUUAUUUACAAAUAUUAAAGGGGCACAUCGAUCCCCUGAUCUGGUGUUGCCACUCGACCAGUCUCUCGGGGACUACUGCAUUGCCUGUCCAAUGCAAAAAAAUUAAGUGUAAUACAGUUUCCGAGGAGAUUUUGAUCCUCAGGUUGGUCGGCCACACCCAACCUGAGUCUCGAGGACUGAGCACGCCGCUUUUUGUGUCCCGAAGUAUUCUGCCGAGGUAGGACUUGAUCCUCAAACCGAUUUUGCAAAUCAACCUGAGUCUCAGCGGCUACUGGGAUCAGCGGUCUUAUGUCAUCCUUCAUGUGCAUCUCGGGUUUUAGACCGAUACCCACCUUGAGGGCUACUGGCUAUAUAUAUCUCGGCAGAGAAUAAAUUGCACCAAUCAAAAAGAUUGGCAAAAAUCGGCCCACAUUCGGGGUGGUGUACCACCUCGGAAGCAGUCCGGCAUAAAGCUCGGGUGCUAGUGGCUGGCUCCAUAGAGGGCAUUUCCGGCAUUAAACUCGGCUAAACUCCUUCAAACUUCGUUGAACCAAGGUGAUUUACGACACCUCGGAUACAGUCCGACGUUGGAGCUCGGAUACAUAGUCCGGCGUUGGGGCUCAGAUACAGUCCGGCGUUGGAGCUCGGAUACAUAGUCCGGCGUUGGAGCUCGAAUACAUUCCGACGUUAGAGCUGGGAAGCGGUCCGGCGUUGGUGCUCGGCUGCAAAAGAUACCUCGAAUGCAGUCCGGCGUUGGAGCUCGGACGCAAGAGGACACUGCCUCCCGGGAACAACUUCAAACCCGAGGUGUGUCAUAAAAAUAAUAAGACAUUGAUAAAGGCCGGAAACUUAAAGCGGCUCCUCGGAUACCCGACGUGUAAACCUGACGAAUGUAUUUUGGCGAUCCUCAAGAUCGAAGAUGAGAAGAUUUGUUGAACCAGUUUUCAAGACCGACGACCGAAGAUGAAGAACGGUUCAGAAGAAUCGAGGAGCGUCCCUAACUUGAAGACCGGUUCAGGGGGCUACUGACGGUGUCCUGGACUAGGGGGUACUCACCACGUCGUCUCUCGAUCUGUUAUAUUGGGCCGAGGACCCCAUGGCCGUAUACUCAUGGGCCAGUUUGGACAGCUGCCGCAUACAAGAAAGAUUCCACAAGACUUGGCGAUUAAGACAAGGACUCCUCCCCACCAGCGUAUUCGGCUAGGACUCUUGUUAUCCUAGGCCUCUGGUGCAUUAUAUAAACCGAGGUCAGGCUAGUCGAUAGAAUAUAUACAUACAAUCAUACCAUAUGCUAGCUUCUAGGGUUUAGCCUCUCUGAUCUCGUGGUAGAUCUAAUCUUGUACUACCCAUAUUAUCAAUAUUAAUCAAGCAGGACGUAGGGUUUUACCUUCAUCAAGAGGGCCCGAACCUGGGUAAAAUAUCGUGUCCCCUGCCUUCUGUUACCAUUCGGUGUAGACGCACAGUUCGAAACCCCUACCCGAGAUCCGCCGGUUUUGACACCGACAACAAUGAAUGUUUUAGGACAGAGGACUAGCUGACGGAUGGUGCGAGUAAUCUCAACCCAAAGACUGCAUAUAGCUCACCAUAACAAGCAAUUAUUAUCAGGCCUCUCAACAAAUCUCACCUCACAAUCUGAACACACAAUACAAAUGGACGAGAACAGGGAUGUAACACGUCUGAUGGUAUGAUCUACAACCUCGCAAACUCAAAGAGCCAGAACGGCGAACCAGAGAGCUACGAGCCCCAGUGCGGCAUAGCCCCACUGUGCAUGCAACGCGGCAGCAGAGUCCGACGACAUCGGCAGAGAGGCAGCUGGCGAGGACAUCGGCGCCACCGUCGCGAGCGGGAAGUACGCUUCCGCAGGGUCCACCGUGGGCGCAGCUGGAGGCGGGGAGUGCCUCUUCUUGUGCCUCUUGUGCCCUGCAUGCCUCGGCGGCUCAGCCGCGGGUGCCGGAGCCGGUGACCCUGUCCUCGGAACCGGUGACGGCGGCGUAGGUGCCGGUGGCAGCUGGGGCGGCGAGCUGGGUGCCGUGGGCGCAGGGCGGUCGGCGACCUCCACCUCCAGCUUCAUUCCGUUUUGGCAGUGGCCCGGCCCGCCGCAGAUGAAGUAGCGCUUCCCCGGCGCCGUGAGCACGAUGGUGGUGGUGCCGCUGUUGUCGAUGCUGACGGGGUUGGCCGUCGAGCAGGCCUCAUAGUCGCCGGCGGUCACUUCAAGGACGUUGUGGUUCGUGUUGUACUUGAAUGCUGCACAGUUUUGUCGCAGAAGAACGUUAGCAGGAACUGCAAUGCAGAAUCACAACCAGUUUACGUCGUGCGUGUUGAUGAUACUCACUCAGGGUGUCUCCGGGAAGAAAGGUUUUGGCCGAAGCCCAGGACUUGUAGUCCGUCUUUCCCUGCCAGCCGCCGGUUGGGCUGCCGACGAUGUAAUCGGUGGCGGCCACAACGUGGACCAGUGAAACCACCGUCACCGCGGCGAUGCAAACCGCCGCCUUCACCGCCGCCAUCUUCAUAGCAGAAGGCAUGCUCUGGUGUCUGAGGUAGGUAGCCGUAGAGGUGCACCCCGAGCCCUAUAUAUAGGGCAACCGCAACCAGCGUGCAAGAGACAGCUAGAGCUUCGUGUGUCGGCAGACCAGAAGAGGCAAGGGAAGGAGUUGGUACGCGUCACAGAAGAGAACAACCAGUAGAACAGAUCCACGUUUUGGAGCAUGCGCCAUCACCCUGUGCAUACGUCCGUUUCCUGCGUGCAGCCGAUCAUGCAUCUCUCGGGCGCGUAGAGGCUGCCGCAACGCGCCCGGGCGCUGGCUGACAAGCGAUUCCGGCCGCAGUGGCCUGCCCACUGGCACCGGCGCACGGCAGCGGCAUGUUCCGGGCGGUGUAAAGUAACAGGAAAGAAUGUUCAUACGAGCCGCGGGUGGCGCGUGCGCCGGCCGCACGGCGCCUUUUCACCGCUGCGUGUAUGGUGGUCACGCGGGACAUUCCCCUCGUGAACGGGCAACGCUACAGUUCGCGCUGGAAUCUACGCUGGCGCAUGAUCCGGCCAAGAGCGUGGGGAGUGGACGGUAUGGAACACUCGAGAGCACGGCGCGGUCCUCCAGAGCAUGUGCGAUCGGGCCGCAGCGGCUGCCGGUGGAGCGAGGACGACGGAGAUGGCGCCAACCGAUACAUCCCAGAGCGUGCGCCCAAGGCGGAGGACGGGUGCGGUGGAUGCGCGGCGCGCGCGUCCAAGUGUUCGACACGCCCAAGUGGCAACCGCCGCCAGGUCAUGUCAGAGUUUCUUCAGGCUUGUUAUUAUUUUCAGAUUUUCUUUUUCAUAUUUUACAAUGUAGCGAACUCAGCAGUCUGAGGAUUUCUUCUUCUUCCUUUGGCAGGGGAGCUUUAAGCCCAUGUUACUGCCCGUUCGUGUCGUGCGCCCAUACACGAUCUAACUGCGCCGGAGCAAACAAGCAUGAUGGAGCUGAUCGCCAAGAUGCUAAGAGCAUCUCCAGCCGCGCCCCUAAUAGGUCUCGCCAGGCCAUUUUUUCGGCGUCGGCGCCGAAAAAAUGGCCCAGUCGCGUCUUCAGGACGCCGAAAAUCAUUCGUUCGGCCCUUUUUUCCGCCCGGCGGUGACAGGCCGAACCCGGCGCACUGGGGAGCAGUUGGGGGCUCCGGCGCAAGGGGAAAACGUGGCUAGCCCACACCGUCAGGGGAAAAGUCAAGGUUUUCUUCCCCGACUCGCCUCCCACCCCCCGCGCCCUCGGCCACCAGUAGCUAUAUCCCGGCGCCGCCCGCCGCCCUACACCGCUAGAUAGCCAUUACCCGCCGGAAAAAUAGCAGCGCUUCGCCGCGGCAGCCCCUCCAACAGCAGCUGGGCGUUUCCGGCCGCGGAGGCGCGGUUUAGCAGCGGAUAGACGCCCACCGAGCGCAAGGUGUUCGGCGAUUUGCCUGCCUCGGCGAUGGACUCGAAUGACGAGGAAGCGCUCGCCGCGCUGCUGGAGGAGGAAGCCGAGGCCGACGUCCAGGAAGAAGAGCAUCUCAUGGUGCUCGCCGCCCUCGCUCAGCUGCUGGUGAGCAAUGAAAAGCCGCGGCGAGGUGGCUCGGCACCUGGGCGGGUGAAAGCAAAGAACCGGCAUCGUCUCGAAGGCUACUGCAUGCUCUACUCCGACUACUUCACCGAUGCUCCACUUCACGGCGAGAAAACAUUUCGGCGCCGUUAUCGGAUGAGCCGAAAGCUCUUCCUCAGGAUUGUAAAUUCCAUCCGGGAGUUCGACAACUACUUCAAGUGCAAGAUGGAUUGCACCGGCGCUCUUGGAUUCACCUCCAUCCAGAAGUGCACGACAGCGAUGAGGAUGCUUGCAUAUGGAGCUCCCGGUGAUUCACUCGACGACUAUGAGCGCAUGGCCGAGUCCACCAACAUAGAGUGUUUCUACAAGUUCUAUCGGGCAGUGGUGGCAGUGUUUAGACCAUAAUACUUGAGAACACUCAAUGGGAAGACACUGCUCGGAUCCUAGCACAGAAUGCAGCAAGAGGAUUUCCUGGAAUGCUUGGAAGCAUCGACUGCAUGCAUUGGAAAUGGAAGAAUUGCCCAUUUGCUUGGCAGGGGAUGUACAAAGGCGCCAAAGGCGGUUGCAGUGUGGUGCUUGAGGCGGUGGCCACACAGGACCUCUGGAUUUGGCACUCCUUCUUUGGUAUGCCAGGAACUCACAAUGACAUCAACGUGCUGCAGUGCUCUCCUGUCUUUGCCAAGCUUGUUGAAGGUCAUUCUCCUUCGGUGAACUUCGAGAUCAAUGGGCGGCACUACAACAAGGGGUACUAUCUAGCUGAUGGCAUCUAUCCGAGAUGGUCGACAUUUGUGAAGACGAUCUCAAACCCUGUGCCAGGAGGCAAGAACGCCUGAUUUGCGAAGGUUCAGGAGGCUUGCAGGAAGGAUGUCGAGCGGGCAUUUGGUGUGCUCCAAUCUCGAUUUGCUGUUGUUCGGUACCCCGCUCAGGCCUGGUCGAAAGAUCAAAUGUGGGAGAUUAUGACUUGCUGUGUCAUCUUGCACAACAUGAUCAUCGAGAGCGAGCAAGAAGACCCAGUGUUUGACACUGAACAAUACUACAGACAGGGUCCUCUAACCGAAGUUGAUCACCAGCUACCGGCAACACGGACUGCCUAUCUCAGUAUGCGUCAGGAGAUCCGAGACCCACAGGUGCAUCAUCAACUUCAGCAAGAUCUGAUAGAGCAUCUAUGGAGGCUGAAGGGCGACGCCGGGCGCGAAGUGUGAUGAAAUAUGAGUUUUUAUUUGUUGAACUAUAUAAUUUGUAUUGAACUAUUUGUUGUAGUACUAUUUGGUUGAAGUAUUUGAUAUUUUUGUGAUGAAAUAUGUGAUAAAAAAAUUUAUGUGCAUAAUUGAACGCCGAACAACGGCGAACCACGCCGAAUAUGGGCCUAUUGUCGCCCAUAUGGGCCCUUUAUUCACCGAAAUGGGGCUGAAAAGUGGACUAAUUUCGACGACUGGGCGCGAAAUUGCCCCCAGCGCCGAUUGCAUCGCCGGCUCGCCCCCAGGGACGCUUUUUAUGCGUCCUGGGGGGCCAAACGGCUGGAGAUGCUCUAAGGACUAGUAUGAGUGAAACCCUGCCCGACUUUCUGAUAGCACCCCCGAUCAAGAGUUCAAGACUGCUGAAAAAGAAUAGCACAAUAUAGCGUGUGAGCAAUGUCUCCUUAAAUAAAUAAAUGCAUAAUGCUUUACUUGUUGGGGAACGUAGCAGAAAUUCAAAAUUUUCUACGCAUCACCAAGAUCAAUCUAUGGAGUAAUCUAGCAACGAGGGGAAGGAGAGUGCAUCUACAUACCCUUGUAGAUCGCUAAGCGGAAGCGUUCAAGUGAACGGGGUUGAUGGAGUCGUACUUGUCGUGAUCCAAAUCACCGAUGAUCCUAGUGCCGAGCGGACGGCACCUCCGCGUUCAACACACGUACAGUCCGGUGACGUCUCCUACGCCUUGAUCCAGCAAGGGGAGAAGGAGAGGCUGGGGAAGACUCCAUCCAGCAGCAACACGACGGCGUGAUGGUGGUGGAGGAGCGCGGGACUCCAGCAGGGCUUCGUCAAGCACUACGAGAGACGAGGAGGAAGAGGGGUAGGGCUGCGCCAACAGGGAGAUUGAAUCGUGUGUUGGGCUGCCCCUUUGCUCAACUAUAUAUAGGGGGAGGGGAGGGGCUGCGCCCUCACCUAGGGUUCCCUCCCUAGGGGUGGCGGCAGCCCCCAGAUCCCAUCUGGGAGGCGGCCAAGGGGGAGAGAGAGGGGGGCGCACCUAGGGUGGGCCUUAGGGCCCAUCUGCGCCUAGGGUUUGCCCCCUCUCCUCUUGAGGACGCCUUGGGCCUUGGUGGGAGGCGCCCCAGCCCACAUAGGGGCUGGUCCCUUCCCACUAUUGGCCCAUGUAGGCCUCCGGGGCUGGUGGGCCCUCCCGGUGGACCCCCGGACCCCUCCGGUGGUCCCCGUACACUAUCGGUGAUGCCCAGAACACUUCCGGUGGCCAAAAUCAUACUUCUUAUAUAUCAAUCUUUACCUCCGGACCAUUCCGGAACUCCUCGUGACGUCCGGGAUCUCAUCCGGGACUCAGAACAACAUUCGGUAACCGCAUACAUACUUUCCCUAUAACCCUAGCGUCAUCGAACCUUAAGUGUGUAGACCCUACGGGUUCGGGAGUCAUGCAGACAUGGCCGAGAUAACUCUCCGGUCAGUAACCAACAGCGGGAUCUGGAUACCCAUGUUGGCUCCCACAUGUUCCACGAUGAUCUCAUCGGAUGAACCACGAUGUCAAGGACUUAAUCAAUCCCGUAUUCAAUUCCCUUUGUCCAGCGGUAUUGUACUUGCCCGAGAUUCGAUCAUCGGUAUCCGAUACCUUGUUCAAUCUCGUUAUCGGCAAGUCUCUUUACUUGUUCCGUAGCACAUCAUCCCGUGAUCAACUCCUUGGUCACAUUGUGCACAUUAUGAUGAUGUCCUACCGAGUGGGCCCAGAGAUACCUCUUCGUUACACGGAGUGACAAAUCCCAGUCUCGAUUCGUGCCAACCCAACAAACACUUUCGGAGAUACCUGUAGUGAACCUUUAUAGCCACCCAGUUACGUUGUGACGUUUGGCACACCCAAAGCACUCCUACGGUAUCCGGGAGUUGCACAAUCUCAUGGUCUAAGGAAAUGAUACUUGACAUUAGAAAAGCUUUAGCAUACGAACUACACGAUCUUUGUGCUAGGCUUAGGAUUGGGUCUUGUCCAUCACAUCAUUCUCCUAAUGAUGUGAUCCCGUUAUCAACGACAUCCAAUGUCCAUGGUCAGGAAACCGUAACCAUCUAUUGAUCAACGAGCUAGUCAACUAGAGGCUUACUAGGGACAUGGUGUUGUCUAUGUAUCCACACAUGUAUCUGAGUUUCCUAUCAAUACAAUUCUAGCAUGGAUAAUAAACGAUUAUCAUGAACAAGGAAAUAUAAUAAUAACCAAUUUAUUAUUGCCUCUAGGGCAUAUUUCCAACAGUCUCCCACUUGCACUAGAAUCAAUAAUCUAGUUCACAUCGCCAUGUGAUUAACACUCACAGGUCACAUCGCCAUGUGACCAACAUCCAAGAGUCUACUAGACUCAAUGAUCUAGUUCACAUCACUAUGUGAUAAACACUCAAAGAUUUUUGGGUUUGAUCAUGUUAUGCUUGUGAGAGAGGUUGUAGUCAACGGUUCUUGCCAUAUUCAGAUCCCUAUGUAUUUCGCAAAACUUUAUAUCGUAGAUGCUGCUACCACGUUCCACUUGGAGCUAUUCCAAAUUGUUGCUCCAUUAUACGUAUCCGGUAUAUCUACUCAGAGCUAUCUGGAUAGGUGUUAAGCUUGCAUCGACGUAACUCUUUACGUCGAACUCUUUAUCACCUCCAUAACCGAGAAACAUUUCCUUAUUCCUCUAAGGAAAAUUUUGACCGUUAUCUGGUGAUCCAGUCCUAGAUCACCUUUGUACCCUCUUGCCAGACAUGUGACAAGGCACACAUCUAGUGCGGUACUUUAGCAUGGCGUACCAUAUAGAGCCUAUGAAAAAAGCAUAGGGGAUGACCUUCGUCCUUCCUCUUUCUUCUGCCGUGGUCAAUCUUUGAGUCUUACUCAACUUGACACCUUACAACUUAGGUAAGAACCCCUUCUUUGACUGAUCUAUUUUGAACUCCUUCAAAAACAUGUCAAGGUGUGUGUUCUUUGAAAGUAUCAUCAGGCAUUUUGAUCUAUCUCUAUAGAUCUUGUAAGCAGCUUUAUUCAGGUCUUCCUUUGAAAAUCACUCUUCAAACAACCGUUUUUGCUUUCCAGAAAUUCUACAUUAUUUCAGAUCAACAAUAUGUCAUCCACAUAUACUUAUCAGAAAUGUUGUAGUGCUCCCACUCACUUUCUUGUAAAUACAAGUUUCUAGCAAACAUUGUAUAAACCUAAAAGUUUUGAUCACUCCAUCAAAACAUAUAUUCCGAUUCCGAGAUGCUUGCUCUAGUCCAUAGAAGGAUUGCUGGAGCCAGCAUACCUUUUAGCAUCCUUAGGAUCGACAAAACCUUUUAUUGUAUCACAUACAACUUUUCUUACGAAAACUGGUAAGAAAACUUGUUCUGACAUCCAUCUGUAAGAUUUCAUAAUCGAAAAAAUACAGCUAAUGCUAUCAUGAUUCCGACAGACUUAAGCAUCGCUACGGGUGAGAAAUUCUCAUCGUAGUCAACUCCUUGAAGUUGUGAAAAGACUCUUUCCCACAAGUCGAGCUUCAUAGACGGUAAUAAUACCGCCCACGUGUGUCUUCUUCUCAAAGAUCCAUUUAUCUCGAUGGCUUGCCGAUCAACGGGCAAGUCCACCAAAGUCCAUACAUGGAUCCUAUCUCGGAUUUCAUGGUUUCUAACCAUUUGUCGGAAUACGGGCCCACCAUCGCUUCUUCAUAGCUCGUAGGUUCAUUGUUGUCUAACAACAUGAUAUCUAAGACAGGAUUACCGUACCCCUUAGGAGUAGUACAUAUCCUUGUCGACCUACGAGGUUCGAUAGCAACUUGAUCCGAAGCUUCAUGAUCACUAUCAUUAACUUCCUAUUCAACAGACGUAGGUGCCACAGAAAACAUCUUUCUGUGUUGCAUCACUCUUUGGUUGAAGUAAAGGUUCGACAACCUCAUCAAGUUCUAUCUUCCUCCCACUCAAUUCUUUCGAGAGAAACUCCUUCUCGAGAAAGGACCCGUUCUUAGCGACAAACAAUUUGCCCUCAGAUCUGAGAUAGAAGGUAUACCCAACUGUCACCUUUGGGUAUCCUAUGAAGAUGUGUUUGUCCGCUUUGGGUUCGAGCUUCUCCGGCUGCAGCCUUAAGCAUCGCAGCCCCAAACAUUAAGAAACGACAACUUUAGUUUCUUGCCAAACCAAUGUUCAUACAACGUCGUCUCAACGGACUUAGAUGGUGUCCUAUCUAAAGUGAAUGCAGCUGUCUCUAACGCAUAACCUCAAAAUAAAAACGGUAGAUCGGUAAGAGACAUCAUAGAUCGCACCAUAUCUCAUAAGGUUCGAUUACGACAUCCGGAUACACCAUUACCUUGUGGUGUUCCAGGUGGCUUCAACUGUGAAACAAUUCCACAAUGUCUUAAGUGAUUGCCAAACUCAUAACUCAGAAAAUCCCCUUUUGAUCAGAUCGUAGGAACAUGAUCUUAUUGUUAUGAUGAUUCUUAACUUCACUCUGAAAUCGCUUGAACUUUUCAAACAUUUCAGACUUGUGCUUCAUUAAGUAGAUAUACCUACAUCUACCCAAAUCGUCAGUGAAUAUGAGAAAAUAGCGAUAUCCACCGCACGCUUCAAUUCUCAUUGGAUCACACGCAUCAGCAUGCAUGAUUUCCAACAAGUCACUUGCCCGUUUCAUUGUACCUGAAAACGGGGUCUUAGUCAUCCUGCCCAUGAGGCAUGGCUCGCAUGUGUCAAGCGAUUCAAAAACAAGUGACUCCAAACAUCCAUAGACAUGGAGUUUCUUCAUGCAUCUUACGCCAAUAUGACCUAAGCGGCAGUGCCACAAGAAAGUGGUACUAUCAUUAUUAACUCUACAUCCUUUGGCGUGAACAUGUGUGUUACCACGACCGAGAUUCAAUGAACCAUUCACAUAGGGUGCAUGACCAUGAAAGGUAUUAUUCAUGUAAACAGAAUAACCAUCAUUCUCUAAUUUAAAUGAAUAACCGUAUUGCAAUGAACAUGAUCUAAUCAUAUUCAUGCUCAACGUAGACACCUGAUAACAUUUAUCUAGGUUCAAUACUAAUUCCGAAGGCAGAUGGAGCGUGUGAUGGUGAUCUCAUCAACUUUGGAAACACUUCCAACACACAUCGUCACCUCGCCCUUAGCUAGUCUCCGUUUAGUCCGUAGCUUUUGCUUCAAGUCACCAAUAAUAGCAACUGAACCGGUAUCCAAUACCCAGGUGCUACCAGGAGUACUAGUGAGGUACACAUUAAUAACAGGUAUAUACUUUGAAGUUGCCAGCCAUCUUAUCUACCAUGCAUUUGGGGUAAUUCCGCUACCAGUGACCAUUCCCCUUACAAUAGAAGCACUUAGUCUCGGGUUUGGGUUCAACCAUGGGUUCCUUCACUGGAGCGGCAACUGGUUUUCCAUCCAUGAAGUUUCCCUUCUAGCCCUUGCCCUUCUUGAAACCAGUGGUCUUGUUAAACCAUCAACACUUGAUGCUCCUUCUUGAUUUCUACCUUUUGCGGUCUUAAGCACCGCGAACAGCUCCGGGAUCAACUCCAUCCCUUGCAUGUCAUAGUUCAUCACGAAGAUCUAGUAGCUUAGUGAUAGUGGCUAGAGAACUCUAUCAAUCACUAUCUUAUCUGGAAGUUUAACUCCCACAUGAUUUAAGUGAUUGUAGCACCCAGACAUUCUGAGCACAUGCUCACUAGCUGAGCUAUUCUCCUCCAUCUUGUUGGCAAAAGAACUUGUUAGAGGUCUCACACCUCUCAACACGGGCAUGAGACUAAAAUCCCAAUUUCAGCUCUUGGAACAUCUCAUAUGUUCUAUGGCGUUCAAAACAUCAUUGGAAUCCCGAUUCUAAGCCGUAAAGUAUGGUGCACUAAACUAUCAAGUAGUCAUCAGGAUGUGUCUGUCAGGUGUUCACAACAUCCACAGACGACGUUGUAGGGGUUUGCACAUCGAGCGGUGCAUCAAAGACGGCAGCCUUCUCUGUAGCAUUGUGGACACUCCUCGCACUACGGACCCAGUCCGCAUCAUUGCUUACAAUAUCUUUCAACUUAAUCUUUCUCUAGGAACGUAUUGAAACAGGGAGCUACAACAUGAGCUAUUUAUCUACAACAUAUUUGCAAAGACAAUUUAGACUAUGUUCAUGAUAAUUGAGUUCAUCUAAUGAACUCCCACUCAGACAGACAUCCCUCUAGUCAUCUAAGUGAAACAUGAUCCGAGUCAACUAGGCCGUGUCCGAUCAUCACGUGAGACGGACUAGUCAACAUCGGUGAACAUCUUCAUGUUGAUCGUAUCUCCUAUAUGACUCAUGCUCGACCUUUCGGUCUUCUAUGUUCCGAGGCCAUGUCUGUACAUGCUAGGCUCAUCAAGUCAACCUAAGUGUUUCUGCUGUGUAAAUCUGGCUUACACCCGUUGUAUUCAAACGUUACAAUCUAUCACACCGAUCAUCACGUGGUGCUUCGAAACAAUGAACCUUCGCAACGGUGCACAGUUAGGGGGAACACAUUUCUUGAAAUUUUAGUGAGGGAUCAUCUCAUUUAAGCUACCGUCGUUCUAAGCAAAUAAGAUGUAAAACAUGAUAAACAUCUCCAUCUUCGGGGCUCCAUGAUCAUCGUUGUCACCGGCAUGACACCAUGAUCUCCCUCAUCAUGAUCUCCAUCAUCGUGUCUUCUUGAAGUUGUCUCGUCAUCUAUUACUUCUACUACUAUGGCUAACGCUUUAGCAAUAAAGCAAAGUAAUUACAUGAUGUUUAAGUUGACACGCAGGUCAUAAAUAAAUUAAGACAACUCCUAUGGCUCCUGCCGGUUGUCAUACUCAUCGACAUGCAAGUCGUGAUUCCUAUUACAAGAACAUGAUCAAUCUCAUACAUCACAUAUAUCAUUCAUCACAUCCUUUUGGCCAUAUCACAUCACAAGGCAUAUGCUGAAGGAAAUAUGCCCUAGAGGCAAUAAUAAAGUUAUUAUUUAUUUCCUUAUAUCAUGAUAAAUGUUUAUUAUUCAUGCUAGAAUUGUAUUAACCGGAAACAUAAUACAUCUAUGAAUACAUAGACAAACUUAGUGUCACUAGUAUGCCUCUACUUGACUAGCUCAUUAAUCAAAGAUGGUUAUGUUUCCUGGCCAUGAACAAAGUGUUGUUAUUUGAUUAACGAGGUCACAUCAUUAGUUGAAUGAUCUGAUUGACAUGACCCAUUCCAUUAGCUUAGCACCCGAUCGUUUAGUAUGUUGCUAUUGCUUUCUUCAUGACUUAUACAUGUUCCUAUAACUAUGACAUUAUGCAACUCCCGUUUACCGGAGGAACACUUUGGGUACUACCAAACGUCACAACGUAACUGGGUGAUUAUAAAGGAGUACUACAGGUGUCUCCAAAGGUACAUGUUAGGUUGGCGUAUUUCGAGAUUAGGAUUUGUCACUCCGAUUGUCGGAGAGGUAUCUCUGGGCCCUCUCGGUAAUGCACAUCACAUAAGCCUUGCAAGCAUUACAACUAAUAUGUUAGUUGUGAGAUGAUGUAUUACGGAACGAGUAAAGAGACUUGCCGGUAACGAGAUUGAACUAGGUAUUGGAUACCGACGAUCGAAUCUCGGGCAAGUAACAUACCGAUGACAAAGGGAACAACGUAUGUUGUUAUGCGGUCUGACCGAUAAAGAUCUUCGUAGAAUAUGUAGGAGCCAAUACGGGCAUCCAGGUCCCGCUAUUGGUUAUUGACCGGAGACGUGUCUCGGUCAUGUCUACAUUGUUCUCGAACCCGUAGGGUCCGCACGCUUAAGGUUACGAUGACAGUUAUAUUAUGAGUUUAUGCAUUUUGAUGUACUGAAGGUUGUUCGGAGUCCCGGAUGUGAUCACGGACAUGACGAGGAGUCUCGAAAUGGUCGAGACGUAAAGAUUGAUAUAUUGGAAGCCUAUGUUUGGAUAUCGGAAGUGUUCCGGGUGAAAUCGGGAUUUUACCGGAGUACCGGGAGGUUACCGGAACCCCCCGGGAGCCAUAUGGGCCUUAAUGGGCUUUAGUGGAAAGGAGAAAGGGGCAGCCCAAGGUGGCCGUCCCCCCUCUCUCUCUUUCCCCCUCGGGGAAUCCUAGUCCAACUAGGAUUUUGGGGGGGGGUCCUACUCCCGGAAGGAGUAGGACUCCUCCUGCGCCCUCCUCCUGGCCGGCGCCCCCCUCCCCCUUGGCUCCUUUAUAUACUGAGGCAGAGGCACCCCAGAAACACACAAGUUGAUCCACGUGAUCUAUUCCUUAGCCGUGUGCGGCGCCCCCAGCCACCAUAGUCCUCGAUAAUACUGUAGCGGAGUUUAGGCGAAGCCCUGCUGCUGUAGUACAUCAAGAUCGUCACCACGCCGUCGUGCUGACGGAACUCUUCCCCGACACUUUGCUGGAUCGGAGUCCGGGAUCGGCAUCGAGCUGAACGUGUGCUCGAACUCGGAGGUGUCGUAGUUUCGGUGCUUGAUCGGUUGGAUCGUGAAGAUGUACGACUACUUCCUCUAUGUUGUGUCAACGCUUCCGCAGUCAGUCUGCGUGGGUACGUAGACAACACUCUCCCCUCUCGUUGCUAUGCAUCACCAUGAUCUUGCGUGUGCGUAGGAAUUUUUUUGAAAUUACUACGAAACCCAACAGUGGCAUCCGAGCCUAUGUUAUUUAUGUUGAUGUUAUAUGCACGAGUAGAACACAAGUGAGUUGUGGGCGAUAUAAGUCAUACUGCCUACCAGCAUGUCAUACUUUGGUUCGGCGGCAUUGUUGGACGAGACGACCCGGACCAACAUUACGCGUAUGCUUACGCGAGACCGGUUCCCCCGACGUGCUUUGCACAUAGGUGGCUUGCGGGCGACUGUCUCUCCAACUUUAGUUGAACCAAGUGUGGCUAUGCCCGGUCCUUGCGAAGGUUAAAACGGAGUCUAUUUGACAAACUAUCGUUGUGGUUUUGAUGCAUAGGUGAGAUUGGUUCUUGCUUAAGCCCGUAGCAGCCAUGUAAAACUUGCAACAACAAAGUAGAGGACGUCUAACUUGUUUUUGCAGGGCAUGUUGUGAUGUGAUAUGGUCAAGGCAUGAUGCUGAAUUUUAUUGUAUGAGAUGAUCAUGUUUUGUAACCGAGUUAUCGGCAACUGGCAGGAGCCAUAUGGUUGUCGCUUUAUUGUAUGCAAUGAAAUCGCGAUGUAAUGCUUUACUUUAUUACUAAACGGUAGUGAUAGUCGUGGAAGCAUAAGAUUGACGAGACGAAAACGAUGCUACGAUGGAGAUCAAGGUGUCGUGCCGGUGACGAUGGUGAUCAUGACGGUGCUUCGGAGAUGGAGAUCACAAGCACAAGAUGAUGAUGGCCAUAUCAUAUCACUUAUAUUGAUUGCAUGUGAUGUUUAUCUUUUUAUGCAUCUUAUCUUGCUUUGAUUGACGGUAGCAUUAUAAGAUGAUCUCUCACUAAAUUAUCAAGAAGUGUUCUCCCUGAGUAUGCACCGUUGCCAAAGUUCGUCGUGCCCAGACACCACGUGAUGAUCGGGUGUGAUAAGCUCUACGUCCAUCUACAACGGGUGCAAGCCAGUUUUCCACACGCAGAAUACUCAGGUUAAACUUGACGAGCCUAGCAUAUGCAGAUAUGGCCUCGGAACACGGAGACCGAAAGGUCGAGCGUGAAUCAUAUAGUAGAUAUGAUCAACAUAACAAUGUUCACCAUUGAAAACUACUCCAUCUCAUGUGAUGAUCGGUUAUGGUUUAGUUGAUUUGGAUCAUGUGAUCACUUAGAGGAUUAGAGGGAUGUCUAUCUAAGUGGGAGUUCUUAAGUAAUUUGAUUAAUUGAACUUAAACUUAUCAUGAACUUAGUACCUGAUAGUAUCUUGCUUGUUUAUGUUGAUUGUAGAUAGAUGGCUCGUGCUGUUGUUCUGUUGAAUUUUAAUGCGUUCCUUGAGAAAGCAAAGUUGAAAGAUGAUGGUAGCAAUUAUAUGGACUGGGUCCGUAACUUGAGGAUUAUCCUCAUUGCUGCACAGAAGAAUUACGUCCUGGAAGCACCGCUGGGUGCCAGGCCUGCUGCAGGAGCAACGCCGGAUGUUAUGAACGUCUGGCAGAGCAAAGCUGAUGACUACUUGAUAGUUCAGUGUGCCAUGCUUUACGGCUUAGAAUCGGGACUUCAACGACGUUUUGAACGUCAUGGAGCAUAUGAGAUGUUCCAGGAGUUGAAGUUAAUAUUUCAAGCAAAUGCCUGAAUUGAGAGAUAUGAAGUCUCCAAUAAGUUCUAUAGCUGCAAGAUGGAGGAGAACAGUUCUGUCAGUGAGCAUAUACUCAAAAUGUCUGGGUAUAAUAAUCACUUGAUUCAAUUGGGAGUUAAUCUUCCGGAUGAUUGCGUCAUUGACAGAAUUCUCCAAUCACUGCCACCAAGCUACAAGAGCUUCGUGAUGAACUAUAAUAUGCAAGGGAUGAACAAGACUAUUCCCGAGCUCUUCGCGAUGCUGAAAGCUGCGGAGGUAGAAAUCAAGAAGGAGCGUCAAGUGUUGAUGGUCAACAAGACCACUAGUUUCAAGAAAAAGGGCAAAGGGAAGAAGAAGGGGAACUUCAAAAAGAACGGCAAGCAAGUUGCUCUCAAGAGAAGAAACCCAAGUCUGGACCUAAGCCUGAAACUGAGUGCUUCUACUGCAAGCAGACUGGUCACUGGAAGCGGAACUGCCCCAAGUAUUUGGCGGAUAAGAAGGAUGGCAAGGUGAACAAAGGUAUAUGUGAUAUACAUGUUAUUGAUGUGUACCUUACUAGAGCUUGCAGUAGCACCUGGGUAUUUGAUACUGGUUCUGUUGCUAAUAUUUGCAACUCGAAACAGGGACUACGGAAUAAGCGGGCACUGGCAAAUGACGAGGUGACGAUGCGCGUGGGAAACGGUUCCAAAGUCGAUGUGAUCGCGGUCGGCACGCUACCUCUACAUCUACCUUCGGGGUUAGUAUUAGACCUAAAUAAUUGUUAUUUGGUGCCAGCGUUGAGCAUGAACAUUAUAUCUGGAUCUUGUUUAAUGCGAGACGGUUAUUUAUUUAAAUCAUAGAAUAAUGGUUGUUCUAUUUAUAUGAGUAAUAUCUUUUAUGGUCAUGCACCCUUGAAGAGUGGUCUAUUCUUAUUGAAUCUCGAUAGUAGUAAUACACAUAUUCAUAAUGUUGAAGCCAAAAGAUGCAGAGUUGAUAAUGAAAGUGCAACUUAUUUGUGGCACUGUCGUUUAGGUCAUAUCGGUGUAAAGCGCAUGAAGAAACUCCAUACUGAUGGACUUUUGGAACCACUUGAUUAUGAAUCACUUGGUACUUGCGAACCGUGCCUCAUGGGCAAGAUGACUAAAACACCGUUCUCCGGUACUAUGGAGAGAGCAACAGAUUUGUUGGAAAUCAUACAUACCGAUGUAUGUGGUCCGAUGAAUAUUGAGGCUCGUGGCGGAUAUCGUUAUUUUCUCACCUUCAUAGAUGAUUUAAGCAGAUAUGGGUAUAUCUACUUAAUGAAACAUAAGUCUGAAACAUUUGAAAAGUUCAAAGAAUUUCAGAGUGAAGUUGAAAAUCAUCGUAACAAGAAAAUAAAGUUUCUACGAUCUGAUCGUGGAGGAGAAUAUUUGAGUUACGAGUUUGGUGUACAUUUGAAAAACUGUGGAAUAGUUUCUCAACUCACGCCACCCGGAACACCACAGCGUAAUGGUGUGUCCGAACGUCGUAAUCGUACUUUACUAGAUAUGGUGCGAUCUAUGAUGUCUCUUACAGAUUUACCGCUAUCGUUUUGGGGUUAUGCUUUAGAGACGGCCGCAUUCACGUUAAAUAGGGCACCAUCAAAAUCCGUUGAGACGACACCUUAUGAACUAUGGUUUGGCAAGAAACCAAAGUUGUCGUUUCUUAAAGUUUGGGGCUGCGAUGCUUAUGUGAAAAAGCUUCAACCUGAUAAGCUCGAACCCAAAUCGGAGAAAUGUGUCUUCAUAGGAUACCCAAAGGAGACUGUUGGGUACACCUUCUAUCACAGAUCCGAAGGCAAGACAUUCGUUGCUAAGAAUGGAUCCUUUCUAGAGAAGGAGUUUCUCUCGAAAGAAGUGAGUGGGAGGAAAGUAGAACUUGACGAGGUAACUGUACCUGCUCCAUUACUGGAAAGUAGUACAUCACAGAAAACUGUUUCAGUGACACCUACACCAGUUAGUGAGGAAGCUAAUGAUAAUGAUCAUGAAACUUCAGAUCAAGAUACUACUGAACCUCGUAGAUCAACCAGAGUAAGAUCCGCACCAAAGUGGUACGGUAAUCCUGUUCUGGAAGUCAUGCUACUAGAUCAUGAUGAACCUACGAACUAUGAAGAAGCGAUGGUGAGCCCAGAUUCCGCAAAGUGGCUUGAAGCCAUGAAAUCUGAGAUGGGAUCCAUGUAUGAGAACAAAGUAUGGACUUUGGUUGACUUGCCCGAUGAUCGGCAAGCAAUUGAGAAUAAAUGGAUCUUCAAGAAGAAGACUGGCGCUGAUGGUAAUGUUACUGUCUACAAAGCUCGACUUGUUGCAAAAGGUUUUCGACAAGUUCAAGGGGUUGACUACGAUGAGACUUUCUCACCUGUAGCGAUGCUUAAGUCUGUCCGAAUCAUGUUAGUGAUUGCCGCAUUUUAUGAUUAUAAAAUUUGGCAGAUGGAUGUCAAAACUGCAUUCCUGAAUGGAUUCCUGGAAGAAGAGUUGUAUAUGAUGCAACCGGAAGGUUUUGUCGAUCCAAAGGGAGCUAACAAAGUGUGCAAGCUCCAGCGAUCCAUUUAUGGACUGGUGCAAGCCUCUCGGAGUUGGAAUAAACGCUUUGAUAGUGUGAUCAAAGCAUUUGGUUUUAUACAGACUUUCGGAGAAGCCUGUAUUUACAAGAAAGUGAGUGGGAGCUCUGUAGCAUUUCUGAUAUUAUAUGUGGAUGACAUAUUACUAAUUGGAAAUGAUAUAGAAUUUCUGGAUAGCAUAAAGGGAUACUUGAAUAAGAGUUUUUCAAUGAAAGACCUCGGAGAAGCUGCUAACAUAUUAGGCAUUAAGAUCUAUAGAGAUAGAUCAAGACGCUUAAUUGGACUUUCACAAAGCACAUACCUUGACAAAGUUUUGAAGAAGUUCAAAAUGGAUCAAGCAAAGAAAGGGUUCUUGCCUGUAUUACAAGGUGUGAAGUUGAGUAAGACUCUAUGCCCGACCACUGCAGAAGAUAGAGAGAAAAUGAAAGAUGUUCCCUAUGCUUCAGCCAUAGGCUCUAUCAUGUAUGCAAUGCUGUGUACCAGACCUGAUGUGUGCCUUGCUAUAAGUUUAGCAGGGAGGUACCAAAGUAAUCCAGGAGUGGAUCACUGGACAGCGGUCAAGAACAUCCUGAAAUACCUGAAAAGGACUAAGGAUAUGUUUCUCGUAUAUGGAGGUGACAAAGAGCUCACCGUAAAAGGUUACGUUGAUGCAAGCUUUAACACUGAUCCGGAUGAUUCUAAAUCGCAAACCGGAUAUGUGUUUACAUUAAACGGUGGAGCUGUCAGUUGGUGCAGUUCUAAACAAAGCGUCUUAGCAGGAUCUACAUGUGAAGCAUAGCUGCUUCAGAAGUAGCGAACGAAGGAGUCUGGAUGAAGGAGUUCAUAUCCGAUCUAGGUGUCAUACCUAGUGCAUCGGGUCCAAUGAAAAUCUUUUGUGACAAUACUGGUGCAAUUGCCUUGGCAAAGGAAUCCAGAUUUCACAAAAGGACCAAGCACAUCAAGAGACGCUUCAACUCCAUCUGAGAUCUAGUCCAGGUGGGAGACAUAGAGAUUUGCAAGAUACAUACGGAUCUGAAUGUUGCAGACCCUUGACUAAGCCUCUUCCACGAGCAAAACAUGAUCAGCAACAAGGCUCCAUGGGUGUUAGAAUCAUUACAGUGUAAUCUAGAUUAUUGACUCUAGUGCAAGUGGGAGACUGAAGGAAAUAUGCCCUAGAGGCAAUAAUAAAGUUAUUAUUUAUUUCCUUAUAUCAUGAUAAAUGUUUAUUAUUCAUGCUAGAAUUGUAUUAACCGGAAACAUAAUACAUGUGUGAAUACAUAGACAAACUUAGUGUCACUAGUAUGCCUCUACUUGACUAGCUCGUUAAUCAAAGAUGGUUAUGUUUCCUGACCAUGAACAAAGUGUUGUUAUUUGAUUAACGAGGUCACAUCAUUAGUUGAAUGAUCUGAUUGACAUGACCCAUUCCAUUAGCUUAGCACCCGAUCGUUUAGUAUGUUGCUAUUGCUUUCUUCAUGACUUAUACAUGUUCCUAUAACUAUGAGAUUAUGCAACUCCCGUUUACCGGAGGAACACUUUGGGUGCUACCAAACGUCACAACGUAACUGGGUGAUUAUAAAGGAGCAUUACAGGUGUCUCCAAAGGUAGAUGUUGGGUUGGCGUAUUUCGAGAUUAGGAUUUGUCACUCCGAUUGUCGGAGAGGUAUCUCUGGGCCCUCUCGGUAAUGCACAUCACAUAAGCCUUGCAAGCAUUACAACUAAUAUGUUAGUUGUGAGAUGAUGUAUUAUGGAACGAGUAAAGAGACUUGCCGGUAACGAGAUUGAACUAGGUAUUGGAUACCGACGAUCGAAUCUCGGGCAAGUAACAUACCGAUGACAAAGGGAACAACGUAUGUUGUUAUGCGGUCUGACCGAUAAAGAUCUUCGUAGAAUAUGUAGGAGCCAAUAUGGGCAUCCAGGUCCCGCUAUUGGUUAUUGACCGGAGAUGUGUCUCGGUCAUGUCUACAUUGUUCUCGAACCCGUAGGGUCCGCACGCUUAAGGUUACGAUGACAGUUAUAUUAUGAGUUUAUGCAUUUUGAUGUACCGAAGGUUGUUCGGAGUCCCGGAUGUGAUCAUGGACAUGACGAGGAGUCUCGAAAUGGUCGAGACGUAAAGAUUGAUAUAUUGGAAGCCUAUGUUUGGAUAUCGGAAGUGUUCCGGGUGAAAUCGGGAUUUUACCAGAGUACCGGGAGAUUACCGGAACCCCCCGGGAGCCAUAUGGGCCUUAAUGGGCUUUAGUGGAAAGGAGAAAGGGGCAGCCCAAGGUGGCUGCGCACCUCCCCCUCCCCUAGUCCUAUUAGGACUAGGAGAGGUGGUCGGCCCCCCUCUCUCACUUUCCCCCUCGGGGAAUCCUAGUCCAACUAGGAUUGGGGGGAGUCCUACUCCCGGAAGGAGUAGGACUCCUCUUGCGCCCUCCUCCUGGACGGCGCCCCCCUCCCCCUUGGCUCCUUUAUAUACUGAGGCAGAGGCACCCCAGAAACACACAAGUUGAUCCACGUGAUCUAUUCCUUAGCCGUGUGCGGCGCCCCCAGCCACCAUAGUCCUCGAUAAUACUGUAGCGGAGUUUAGGCGAAGCCCUGCUGCUGUAGUACAUCAAGAUCGUCACCACGCCGUCAUGCUGAUGGAACUCUUCUCCGACACUUUGUUGGAUCGGAGUCCGGGGAUCGUCAUCGAGCUGAAUGUGUGCUCGAACUCGGAGGUGCUGUAGUUUCGGUGCUUGAUCGGUUGGAUCGUGAAGACGUACGACUACUUCCUCUAUGUUGUGUCAAUGCUUCCGCAGUCGGUCUGCGUGGGUACGUAGACAACACUCUCCCCUCUCGUUGCUAUGCAUCACCAUGAUCUUGCGUGUGCGUAGGAAAUUUUUUGAAAUUACUACGAAACCCAACAUAUGCUGCAAAAACAAGUUUGACGUCCUCUAAUUGUUGUUGCAAGUUUUUAUGUAGCUGCUAUAGGUUUCUAGCAAGAACGUUUCUUACCUACGCCAAAACCACAACGUGAUAUGCCAAUUUCUAUUUACCCUUCAUAAGGACCCUUUUCAUCGAAUCCGAUCCGACUAAAGUGGGAGAGACAGACACCCGCUAGCCACCUUAUGCAACUAAUGCAUGUCAGUCGGUGGAACCAGUCUCACGUAAGAGUACGUGUAAGGUCGGUCCGGGCCGCUUCAUCCCAUGAUGCCGCCGAAUCAAGAUAAGACUAGUAACGGCAAGCAAAUUGACAAAAUCGACGCCCACAACAACUUGUGUUCUACUCGUGCAUAGAAACUACGCAUAGACCUAGCUCAUGAUGCCACUGUUGGGGAACGUAGCAGAAAUUCAAAAUUUUCUACGCAUCACCAAGAUCAAUCUAUGGAGUAAUCUAGCAACAAGGGGAAGGAGAGUGCAUCUACAUACCCUUGUAGAUUGCUAAGUGGAAGCGUUCAAGUGAAUGGGGUUGAUGGAGUCGUACUCGUCGUGAUCCAAAUCACCGAUGAUCCUAGUGCUGAACGGACGGCACCUCCGCGUUCAACACACAUACAGCCCGGUGACGUCUCCUACGCCUUGAUCCAGCAAGGGGAGAAGGAGAGGUUGGGGAAGACUCUAUCCAGCAGCAGCACGACGGCGUGGUGGUGGUGGAGGAGCGCGGGACUCCAGCAGGGUUUCGCCAAGCACUACGAGAGACGAGGAGGAAGAGGGGUAGGGAUGCGCCAACAGGGAGAUUGAAUCGUGUGUUGGGCUGCCCCUUUGCGCAAGUAUAUAUAGGGGGAGGGGAGGGGCUGCGCCCUCAUCUAGGGUUCCCUCCCUAGGGGUGGCGGCAGCCCCCAGAUCCCAUCUGGGAGGCGGCCAAGGGGGAGAGAAAGGGGGGCGCACCUAGGGUGGGCCUUAGGGCCCAUCUGCGCCUAGGGUUUGCCCCCUCUCCUCUUGAGGACGCCUUGGGCCUUGGUGGGAGGCGCCCCAGCCCACAUAGGGGCUGGUCCCUUCCCACUAUUGGCCCAUGUAGGCCUCCGGGGCUGGUGGCCCCUCCCGGUGGACCCCCGGACCCCUCCGGUGGUCCCGGUACACUAUCGGUGAUGCCCGGAACACUUCCGGUGGCCAAAAUCAUACUUCCUAUAUAUCAAUCUUUACCUCCGAACCAUUCCGUAACUCCUCGUGAUGUCCGGGAUCUCAUCCGGGACUCCGAACAACAUUCUGUAACCACAUACAUACUUUCCCUGUAACCCUAGCGUCAUCGAACCUUAAGUGUGUAGACCCUACGGGUUCGGGAGUCAUGCAGACAUUGUCGAGACAACUCUCCAGUCAAUAACCAACAGCAGGAUCUGGAUACCCAUGUUGGCUUCCACAUGUUCCACGAUGAUCUCAUCGGAUGAACCACGAUGUCAAGGACUUAAUCAAUCCCGUAUUCAAUUCCCUUUGUCCAGCGGUAUUGUACUUGCCCGAGAUUCGAUCGUCGAUAUCCGAUACCUUGUUCAAUCUCGUUACCGGCAAGUCUCUUUACUCGUUCGGUAGCACAUCAUCCCGUGAUCAACUCCUUGGUCACAUUGUGCAUACCUCUACGUUACACGGAGUGGCAAAUCCCAGUCUCGAUUCGUGCCAACCCAACAGACACUUUUGGAGAUACCUGUAUUGAACCUUUAUAGCCACCCAAUUACGUUGUGACGUUUGGCACACCCAAAGCACUCCUACGGUAUCCGGCAGUUGCACAAUCUCAUGGUCUAAGGAAAUGAUACUUGACAUUAGAAAAGCUUUAGCAUACGAACUACACGAUCUUUGUGCUAGGCUUAGGAUUGGGUCUUGUCCAUCACAUCAUUCUCCUAAUGAUGUGAUCCCGUUAUUAACGACAUCCAAUGUCCAUGGUCAGGAAACCGUAACCAUCUAUUGAUCAACAAGCUAGUCAACUAGAGGCUUACUAGAGACAUGGUGUUGUCUAUGUAUCCACACAUGUAUGUGAGUUUCCUAUCAAUACAAUUCUAGCAUGGAUAAUAAAUGAUUAUCAUGAACAAAGAAAUAUAAUAAUAACCAAUUUAUUAUUGCCUCUAGGGCAUAUUUCCAACAGUCUCCCACUUGCACUAGAGUCAAUAAUCUAGUUCACAUCGCCGGUGGGCGCCCUCGCCGGCUUGCCAUGGAUGCAACUUCGCCACCCACGCUCGCCAUGGAUGGAUCCCGCACCUCGCCGCCCGCGCACGCCAUGGAUGCAGCUCCGCCUUGCUGGUGAUUGACUGGUUCCAGCAAAUAGAAUUGCCCGUUGUAGCAUUUUUCGUUGUUUGUUGUAGCAAAAUGGAGACACGGUUGCAGCAAAAAAAAGCGUCGCUAUUUUCGCUGGUUGUAUCUCGCCGUUGCAGGUCGCAACAUUUGCAUAAUGGACGGAUGUAACAAAACCCGUUGCCGGACGUAGCAAAAGCCUACGACGGUUGCAGCAAAAAUGUCGUCGUCGCUGUCGAGCCUCGCAGCUCAGCCAUGAUGGAUGUCGCAAAAUGUUAUGCCGGUUGCAGCAAAAAGUGAUGCUAGUUGUAGCAAAACGCAACGCCGGCUAUGUGUUGUAGCAAAACGUGAUGCCGGUCGUAGAAAAAUGCUAUGCCGAUUGUAGCAAAAUCUAUGCUGGUUGAAGCAUGUAGCAAAACUGCAGCGUUUUAUCAUCUUCUUCCACCUUCAGCCGUCGCUGGUUGAAGCUUUCUUAUUUUCGUAGUGUCUAGUUGUAGUUUUCUCUCUCAAUGGUUGGAGCUUUUUCCAACAACUGUUGAAGCUUUUCUACCAAAAGUUGUAGCUAUUUUCUUUUUAGUAGCGCUUGGUCAAGGCUUUUUGUGUCGUUCCGGUUGAAGCUUUUUUCAUCGAAGGUUGUAGCAUUUCGUGUCAACGGUUGUAACUUUUUGGCGAUGGCGCUGACCGCUUGUAGCUUUCUCUACAUCCGGUUGAAGCUUUUCAUCUAGGGGGAUGAAGCUUUUUUUAAACGGUUGCAACAUGAGGGGGUGCGGCGGUUCUGCAGAAGCCUCCGGUGUUGUCCAUCGCCGCCCGGCUCGUCGGCGGCGAGCAGAAGCACGAGGCGUGUGGGAGUUGCAAUCGACGAGAAUGGGAUUGGUCACCAGCCUUGCUGCAUCCAAUGGCGAGCGGGGUUGCAAGCGUGGCGGGAUGAGAUCUGCAUCCAUGGCGGGCGGGGAUUCGAUCUUCCAUGGCCGACGGCGAGCUAUUCACGCGCUGCAGUGAUGGAGGCAGGAGAUGCGGGCAUCAGCGCUGCGUGCAGCAACGAUGGAGCCAGGAGACAAGGAUGGGGCGAGAUCCGCGGAGCUGGGGGCGGAUGGGGUGGGAUCCGCGGGAGGUUGAAGAAAAGCAACGAUUUGGAUGGCAUACAUCCUACGUGUCGCUUUGUGGAUGGCUGGGGCAGAGCGCACGUGGACGCGACCGGCGCAAAGUUCGGCCGGCGUGCCGUUGUCAAACAUUUACCAUUACACUAUCAUACAAAGAUAACAAAAUCUUACCUCCAGUUAAGUCGCAAUGAUCUGUCUGCAGGUUUUUCUCGCAUGUUACUUUGGUUUUGUUUGUAAUGUACCAGCCGCAAUGUCCCAUUUUUUUUCAAAAAGAAAUGUAGAAUUUUUUCAUGGGCAUUGUACUAUCAUACAAAAUAACAAAAUCUUACCUUUAGUAAAGCCGCAAUGAUCUGUUUGCAAGGUUAUUUUCGGAUGUUACUUUUGUUUGUUUGUAGUCUAUACCAGUUGUAAUAUUAUUUUUUAAUGUUAAUAAAAUAAAAGUAAGUAAAUAUUUUAGAUUAAUUUAUUGGUUUUAUCUAAUAUUUGAAAACUUUUGGAAUAUGUAAACAUUUUUUAGAAGGAGUAAAAGUACUUUCCCUGAAAUAUUCAUUUUGGAUUUUCUCUGAUUCUUCAGAAUGUUCAAACACAAUCUCAAUUCAUUUAAUAAUUGGAAGGUUUGAGUAUUUAUUUGAUGCUUUUAAAUAUAUGAACAUUCCAAUUCAAAAUGAAAUCAAAGAGCUGGUUUAUGCAAUAUUAAAGAAUUGGAAAUGAUUUAAAUAUUAUAUUGAUUAUUUUAUUGAUUUUAAAAUUAUAUAUGUAUACCUUCGAACUAUUUUACAAAAUUAUUAAAAUGACUGAUAUAGCCUUUAUUUUGGAAAAAAAAGUUAUUUUUGUAAUGUAUUUGGCCAGGACGUAUUUUUCCUAAACUCUAAAUAUUGUGUGUUAUUUGAAAGUUUUUGCGUAUUUUUAGGAUUUGAAAUGGUGUUAUUUAGUGGUCAUAUUCAAAUUAUUUUAGAAUUAGAAAAUACCUUUGAACUUUUUGGGACAACCAUUACUGUACACAUGCGGCCUGUCAAACGUCGCCCACGCUACAUAUCACAGUGCCGGCCCAGCCCUACUGAUGUGACGGCCCUACUCUCUCUCUAUAUAUAUGAGAGCAACUAGUUAACAAGCGCUCCUUCGGGAGCCUCGCAACGAUCAGUGCCAUUUGGCGCGUUCUCAGUCAUUCAUCACGUGUCGUGUUCUGAACGUUCCCUUCGAAUUUUUUUCUGCACACGUUUUCGGCUUUUAAACUUUUUUUGUUUUUUUCGACGUUUUGGUUUUCCCCCAGUCUUUCAUAGCUUUUCGAUCAAAACAAAUUACGCGAAAAAACACGUUUUCUUUUUAUUUUAUUUUUCGCGAGAGUUACGGUUUUUCUUCCAUGAGAGGUACGGUUGUGCUUUAGCGAGAGUCAAGGCCGUGCCUUUCGAAAAUGAAAAAAAACGCGUUUUUAUUUUUUUUUCUUUCACGAGAGUCACGACCGUGCCUCUCAGAAAGAGAAAAACAAAACGCGUUUUUCUUGUUUGUUUUUUGUCGCGAGAGUCACGGUUUUGCUUCCGCGAGAGGCACGGUUGUGCUUUCACGAGAGUGACGACCGUACCUCUCGGAAAGGGAAAAAAUACGCGUUUUCUGUUUUUUUUUUGCGAUAGUUACGGUUUUGCUUCCGCGAGAGGCACGGUUGUGCUUUCGCGAGAGUCACGGUCGUGCGUCUCGGAAACGAAAAAAAACGUGUUUUCUGUUUUUUUUCCUUCCACGAGAGUUACGGUUUUGUUUCCAUGAGAGAAACGGUUGUAUUUUCGCUAGAGGCACAGGCAUGCCUCUUUCGGAAAGGAAAAAAAUCCGUGCUCCCGGUUCUGUUUUUUCGUCCGGUUUUUUUGUCCGGUUUUUUUCGUGAAAAAAAAAGUUUGUCAAAACCUAUCAAAUGAGAUCUAGUUCUGAAGAUCUCGACGCGAAGAAUCCAACGGUGAAAACGGUUCGAGAUUUGAACGCACGGUUUAAGAGAUAAAAUGUUUUGAAUAUACGGAUCUACGAAAAAAAACUCUCAGAUUGCGACAAGUGACACGCUGCGUGUGCGCCACUUGUCACGACCUGGGAAUGUGAAUUGUUAUUUGCAAUGAGUACUCUUUAAUUAGUGAUUUCCUGCUUCUAUUUUCUUAUUUCUUUAUAUACUUCAUUUCAACUUUUGGGCUGAACCCACUAUUACCUGUUUAGAUCUUUUUUUUCUUUCCCAGGUGGCCUCUACCAAAGGCCCCAUAUUCGCAACGCAAGCCUAGGAGGAGCACGACGACGCGUCCGGGUGCUCUCCAUUCCUUCUCCUCAAAAUAAAAAAAAGGUGCUCUCCAUUCCUCUGUGUCUUCUAUGUGUCUCAGUAUUCUAAACCUAGAUUCAAACCUGUAUCUCUCUGCUCUCAAUACUAUUAACUGCUGCUGCUGCCUAUCCUCAGUUCUCUGCUUCUACUACUUGUUCUUGUUGCUUUAUCCACUCUAUUUCGUUGCUGCUCUAUCCAGGUCUUUAACAGCUGAGACCUCCCGGAACUUAGAAUAUGCGAAUAUGCUGCUAAUUAAUACAGUAGUAUUUCCUCCGUCUCAUAAUAUAAAAUCGUUUUGUAAACUAGAGAGCGACAAUUUAGUUUUGUCAACUACUGUACGUAUGUAUUUAGACGCUUUGUAGGGGUGUGAUGUAUCACAAACUGAAACGAGAUACUCCGUAUGAGAAGCAUUGAUCAGUUGGUGCAUAUAAUUCGUACACUUUUUAGUAGAAAGGGUUUCCCCUGAUUUCCAUAAAAGAAGCAAUCAUGGUUCUUACAAGCACCAAAAGAAACCUAACAAAAGCAAACCUGAAGUGGAAGACCAAAUAUUACAGCAGCCAAAUGGUUAGGAGAUCCAGAACUAUGAUGGCUAGUACUACUAGUAUAAUUCUUAUACUGCCUAUGUACUCCUUCAGUUUCUUUUUACUCCGCAUGUAAGAUUUGAUCAAAGUCAAAAUACACAAAGUUUGAUCAAAUUUAUAUAAAAAAUAUAAACAUCUACAAUACUAAAAUUAUAUAGUAUGAAAAUACGUUUCAUGAUGCAUCUGAUAAUAUUGAUUCCAUAUUAUGAAUGUUUAUAUUUUUUAAUAUAAAAUUCGUCAAACUUUAUAAAGCUUGAUUUUGAUCAAACUUUAUAUGUGAACUAAAAAAACGAAGAAAGUACAAUUAUGAUGGAGCGUCUAUUAAUUAGCAUCGCUAGUCGUGACCUCUCUAAGCUUUGGAAACUCAAAAUGGAAAGCAAAAUCAAAAUUCAUGUGGCUAGUCGUGACCUCUCGUAAUAAGGCCACAGGACUUUGUGCUUUUCAUGUCGCUAUUUUGGCUUUUGGCUUUCUCUUUUCCUGACAUACAGCUUGUACUUCCUCCUUUCUGGUUUAUAAGGCUUAUCUUAAAAUUUUAGUUUUUCCAUUUUAUGAGGCUCAGUUUGGUUGUUCCUCAUCACAUGUUCAGACUUUAAGGUGCAUUAAAUCAUUGCAUGCAAGUAUUAAAAGAAAAUUGACCAAUGCAUGCACUUUAUGCAUGCAUGCAUUGCAAUUAAUGCAUUCGUAAAUAUAAUUUUUUGAGAAAAAUAAGAGCAUUAAUUGGGUGCUUUUGCAAACUACAAAAAAUAUUCUACCACUCAUCAUCUACCUUGGUUGGUGAGAUUUUUGAAUUGAGCCUUAUAAACCGAAAAGGAGGGAAUAUGUUUCUAUCCCUGGUCUUUAAUGAAAGGGCGUGGCUAUAAGUAAGUCGAUUGAUUUUGAAUUGGGGUCAGUUGAUUAGUUUAACACAUCGGAUGCAGAUCCAACGGCGUGCAAUCCUUCCUCUUCCUCCAGCUCGUCUCCUUUCCCAUACCGCCGCACGGCCGGCCGGCCGAACCGCUUGCCACCACCACCCGCGGCCGGCGCCUUCUUCGGAACCUCCUCCCACCGCCAUCCUGCCACCAGCCCUGGCCAUCACUCCAGACUCGGCGAUGACCGAUUUUUUUUUCGGCGAACUUGCACCACUGUCGUGCUGCCCCCCUAACCCCCCUCCCUCCCCCCCCCCCACACACACCCUAAGAUAGAUGAUGGGGUAACCUGCUGGCGAGCUUCUUCCUGCCCGUUGUUUCUCCAUUCAAUUCAAAAUCGAUUGACCCAAAUUCAAAAGUCAGGCGACUGACAUGUAACUAUUGUGUUAAUGAAAAGGCAUAGCGGCAGUAACGAAUAACACGUGGUGCAUACAAUUCGUAGCACUUAUCAACUAUACGCUAGAUCACGCAGGCCUAACUAGCUAGUUCCACCACUGUUGGCCUGUUCAUGAUCGCAGAUUCACUGUCUCAUGUAAGCUUCUUGUUAGAGUUGUCUCGAAUAUAGUGUACAAGGUAGGUUAUAAUUGAACUAGGAGUUGUAUUGUGUUUACAUAGGAUGUGGAGUUGUGUCCUAAUAGGACACUUGUAUCAUAAGCCUUUCAUAUAUAGCGGAGGUAGACACACGAUAUAACCUAUGCCAACAUAAUAGCACAGGUGCGCAAGGGGGAGCCGCCGGUGUGUGCCGGCGCCCGGAUGACCGGUGCGCGGUAUUGUGACGGCGUCAUGGGAAGGAGCGCCCAUAGUCAAGCCCCGGGAUAUAGCCAUAUCGGUGAACCUCGUUAACAAAUCUCGGUGUUGUGCUCGUGUGAUUGCUUGGUUCUCGGAUGAUCGACGGCAUGCCUCGGACUUAUUCUAACAAGUGGUAUCAUGAGCUAGGUUAUUUAAAGAUUGAUCUAAAGGAAGGAAGAAAGCGUCGACGGAAGUCUGCAGGAAGCAAUCGUAAUACGGGAUAAGUCAUCGGCGAGUUACUAUGCAAAGCAGAUGUAUUAGUCGAGUCGUAAUCUUCAUGGAAGCAAUCGGAAGCGGUCUCGGCGUGAUAACGUGCAGCAGGCUGGCGGCGCUUGGCACGCGGGUACACAGCAAAUCGAUUCGAUGCGGGCUCCUUCGGAUCGAGGCCGACCGGGCGGCUGUCGCGUGCAGGCGGCAGUCAGCAGAUUCCAGCGAGGAGCUGGCAUACCCCGCGUUUGGAGGCCCCAGCGAGGAGCUGGCGUCGUGCGGAGCAACACCGGGCCGGCGGCCCAUUGCAGGUGCAGCGGUUGACCAGGGCGUGGCUGACCAGCUCGGGCAGGAGGCCCAGUUGACAGUAGACCGGUGCGGGCUGGCUAGGCAAUGGCCGGCUGCUGGUGGGUGUGCUCCAUGAGCCACGCGCGUGAGAGCUAGAGGAGUCACGUACAGGGAUUUGUUUUGAGACAAAAAAGGAACCGGCCAGGGUCACGAGUGUGUACAAGGUGCACGGAGAAGCUAAAAAACAAAUAGAGAAAAGGAAAAUUGUGCAGUUGCAUGGAAUUUUUUUUUUGAGUCGAUUUGUUGUGAAGGCUUGGAACAUGUGGACAGGUUAUGGAGGUGUGCGGACAAGCACGUCAUGAGGAUCACGCAAACACAGGGCGUCAAUCAAUGCACGGAGAUGUGCAGGUGGUCAUGAUGCAAGGUGGAGCAUGAUUGCAGUCGGUUAAUUUCGGCUGGGUUGGACUGGACUGUCUGACGGAUCGACUGGGAUGUCGGUUGGUACAGAAGACGGUGGUGGGAUCGGCGACGACGGCAUAUGAGCAUGGUGCUGAUGGUGACCGUUUUCUGGGCGUGGAAACACGCGGCACGGGCCUGAGUGCUUGUGUGAUUUCGACAAGACUAUGACGCGGGGUUGAUUCAAGACGGUGCACACGGAGCUUGAAGUUGACGGGGCGCGAGGGUGGGCUGAUCAUCUACCAUGGAGUCAUGUUGAAGGUGGAGCUGGAUUGAGGGGCUACGGUGUAAGGAUCCAGGGAAUCGAAACCUAUUCAGCAAGGAGGAAAAACGAGUGACAUGCAGUUUGGACUGGAGCCCAGUGGUCUGAUGGAAGCGUGAAACUCGUCAUCGGUCGAUGAUGAUCGGUGGUACUCUGCAGUAGGGGUUGAGUGGUGUGGGUUCACGACCCUUGAGACUCGACCAGGACAGCGGAGGCUCGAUGCGGUAAUAGCGGCGAGGCGUGCGGUAUGCACGGGUCAUGGAGACGGGCCAGGGCUCUGGUGGUCAUACAUGUGGUGAGACAACUGCGAAUUUGACUCGGGAUGACUACAAGCAACGGUGAAAUUCCUUCAAGUUUCAGACAGGCGGUCAAGAAAGGAGCGGUGAUGUUGAGUUCAGGUAACUCUUAUGUGUGACACCCAAUAUGUGAGUUGUUCACUUUCACGCAGGUCAGUGAUCAGUGUAUGAUGACGUUGGACUGAUACUCUGGAAGUUGGGAGCGCAAACUAGAGUAAUGUGGAACUUAAUUUCGCUCGAGUGUUGAUUGUGGUCAUGAAAAGAAGGGACUACAAGUUGCAGGUGGAGUCAUAUGGAGUCUUUGGAGUAGCAGUGGUACUCACAAGAUAAGCUCAAGUCUACUGUACAUGGAAGUUUGACGCAUUGACGAAUUCAAGGUGGUGGAGAAUAUUCGCCAAGGUAGAGUUUGUUAAAAUUGUGUCGAAUAUAGUGUACAAGGUAGGUUACAAUUGAACUAGGAGUUGUAUUGUGUUUACAUAGGAUGUGGAGUUGUGUCCUAAUAGGACACUUGUAUCCUAAGCCUCUCAUAUAUAGCGGAGUUAGACACACGAUGUAACCUAUGCCAACAUAAUAGUACAGACGCGCAAGGGGGGCCGGCGGUGUGUGUCGGCGCCCGGGUGGCCGGUGCGCGGUAUUGUGACGGCGUCAUGGGGAGGAGCGCCCAUAGUCAAGCCCCGGUGAUGUAGCCAUAUCGGUGAAUCUCGUUAACAAAUCUCGGUGUCGUGUUUGUGUGAUUGCUUGGUUCUCGGAUGAUCGACGGCAUGCCUCGGACUUAUUCUAACACUUCUUCCAGAAGCACAUAUUUAUUCACACGGGACUACGCAUAGCCCAUAAAAAGCCAUAGCAACACCAAGAACAAAACCUUUCUUCAGAGAAGACAUAAACGCCAAGCCAGAAGAAGCAACUAGUAACUAAGCCGUCUCACCCAUGCUCUCAUAUAUGCAUGUAGUAGAAACUACGUGCUGACGAAUGCCAGUCAGCAAGGCAGCUUGAACCCCAUGUACGCUCCGCCGGUGUACUGCGUCCAGACAUCUAGGGCUCCGAAGCAGGUGACGAUGACGGUGCUGAGCGCCAUGAUGGCGGUGACCAGGAACACGAUCAUCGACACCCGCCCGGACUUCCUGACGACCCGCUCGAUCAGGACCACCCCGGCGAUCGAGGCGACGAAGCAUAUCCCCGCGUAGACCGAGGCCUCCCCGAUCCCGUCCAUCCCCAGCAGGAUGAACUGGGCCAUCGACAUGGACGCGCAGAACAGCGCCAUGAACGAAGACGUCGCCGCCGCCGUCUACAGAUGAAAAGUAGGCACGUCGAACGUGUGAUCAUCUAAUAGCUUACAAAUUACACAUGCAUGCACUGUCGUAGUCUCUGUAUACCUGCGGGGGUAUCCCAAUCUGAAGGAGUACGGGGUUGAGAAGCAGCCCUCCGCCGAUGCCGAAGAGGCCGCUCAGAGAUCCGGUCACGAAAGCGGCCAGCGGGAGCGCGAGCGCGGGCAAAGUCUCCGUCUUAGUGUGCACAGAAGAAUUUGCCUGCAUGAGUACAUGAAUGUCCAGGGCAAGAUUCAUUCAGUCUCAUUUGUAUUACCAUUCAAUUUCUACCAAUCAGAAGUUGAGAACACGACGAAUUAAUUGGUCUACGUACUACCUUGCCAUCUUCGUGGUGAUGUGGAGCCUGCUUCUUCCUCUUUGCGUAUAUGAUAUAGGCUGUGAAAGCCACGGCGAAGGGCACCUGGGACACGGUGGCGAGCCAGUAUGCUACCCCGCAGGGCUUUAUGCUGAUCACUCCCUGCACAGACAGCAUUACAUUGAUGAAGUCAUCGUCUAUGCGUUUCAUAUUAUCGAUUGGAUCAUUGGACGCAAACGUCUACCGUCAGAGGUGCGAGCCUCCAGUGACUCUUUCGAUCCUGUGCACAAUGAAUGUGGACAGGCGCAAAGACCCGAUUCCAAGCACAGAAAACAGCUUCCCACCCAUGGACGUGACCUUUUAACUACUCGUAGUAGUACCCCUCCGUCCGAAAAUACUUGUCAUUAAAAUAGGCAAAAAAAGAUGUAUCUAGAACUAAAAUAUAUCUAAAUACAUCCUUUUUUAUUCAUUUUGAUGACAAGUAUUUCCGUACGGAGGGAGUAAUAGAGUAGGUUAUCUGCCUUAAACUAAUGCUUUGUGCUGUCCAUUCGCUGGAUAACUUAAGUUUAACAGGCGAUCCCUGCCUUGGACAAAGUUUGACAGGUAUAUCCAUGCUAGCUUUAUUUUGAUGCCAUGGCUAGGUAGCUAGUUGACUUUAAAAAAUACUGUGGGAGACAAAUGGCUAGUUGAAGCGUAGAAUGAACCUAGACGCUGGCUAGACUCUUAAUCAUUUCCCAUUACCGGCCGAUCUAUGUGAAGUGCGAUGUCUAUAUAAGUAGUACUCAUUCCGUCUCAAAAUAAGUGUCUCAACUUUAUAUUAAUUUAAUACAAAAUUGUAUUAAAUUUUAAGAUAUUUAUUUUGAGACGAAGGGAGUAUAUAACACAUGAUUCUGAACCGGUGUCAAGCAGAUAGAAAAGAAAAUGACUGAGAUGGAUGCUGACAAUUUUGCUACAAAGCAAGAAAAAUAAAUGUUAGUACUCUUAAUUUAGAACGUUGGUUCUAGUGUUGCCUCGCUGGUGGACAACCUGGUGCUAGCGCCUGCCGACAUGGCCGUGUUGGACGAAGGAGAAGCAGGCUGUGUGUGGCGAGUCGUUUUGCCGAAGGCAACCACAAUAUUUACUCCAUCCGUCUCAAAAUUCUUAUCUUAGAUUUGUUUAAAUACGGAUGUAUCAAGUCACUUUUUAGUAUUAGAUACAUCCAUAUCAAGACAAAUCUAAGACAAGAAUUUUGGGACGGAGGGAAUACAAUUUGUUUUUUACCGGCUGUCAGGGCCUUCCAGCAGUUUUUAGGGUUUUUUUUGUUGACCAGCAGUUUUCAGUUAAAAUGAUAAAGUAUCAACAAUACUUUUUUUUCUCCCUUUNNNNNNNNNNNNNNNNNNNNNNNNNNNNNNNNNNNNNNNNNNNNNNNNNNNNNNNNNNNNNNNNNNNNNNNNNNNNNNNNNNNNNNNNNNNNNNNNNNNNNNNNNNNNNNNNNNNNNNNNNNNNNNNNNNNNNNNNNNNNNNNNNNNNNNNNNNNNNNNNNNNNNNNNNNNNNNNNNNNNNNNNNNNNNNNNNNNNNNNNNNNNNNNNNNNNNNNNNNNNNNNNNNNNNNNNNNNNNNNNNNNNNNNNNNNNNNNNNNNNNNNNNNNNNNNNNNNNNNNNNNNNNNNNNNNNNNNNNNNNNNNNNNNNNNNNNNNNNNNNNNGAGCUUGAGUAAACCCUUUAAAAAGAUCAUAUAAUAUGUCAAAGCCUUAUAAGUUCAUUGGGAAAUGUUUUACUAGGUUAAGCUAAAAAAUACAAAUUCUUGACAUUCAUUUUUUACAAUCCUCAUAUUUGUUUUUUUCCGCAAGCAUCAUAGAAACACAUAUUAUGUGUAAAUUUAUAGAUACAUAGAUCACUUAUACAGGUACGAUUUAUCAAUUUGUUUCAGUAUUUACCAUUCAAAAGCAGGCUGUGUGUGGCGAGUCGUUUUGCCACAACAUUUGCAAUUUGUUUGUUACCGGCUGUUUUGGCCUUCCAGCAGUUUUCAGUUUUUCUUUUUUGAGAUGACCAGCAGUUUUUCAGUUAAAAUGAUAAAGUGAUAAACAAUAAAAAAAAUUCUCCCUUUUUAAAACGUACCCCCUCGGUCCAUUUCUCUGACAAGUAAUUUCGGACGGAGAGAGUAUUCGUCUGAGUGGGCUGUUUUGGAACCCGGGCUCGAGUAAACCCCUUAAAAAAAUCAAAAUUCAUAUUUAAAUAUGUCAAAGCCUUCUGGGAAAAAAGACAUAUAUGUAUAGAUGUAUUCUACGUGUGAGUAUAAGUUCAUCGGGAAAUGUUUUACCAGGUUUAGCUAAAAAAUAUAUAAAUUCUUGACAUUCAUUUUUUAAAAUCAUUGUAUUUGUCUUUUUUGCAAGCAUUACAGAAACACAUAUUACGUGUAAAUUUAUAGAUACAUAGAUCACUUAUAUAGGUACAUGUCAAUUUGUUUCAGUAUUUUGUGACAUUUCAAACCUUUUUUUUAAUUUUUUGAUAAAUGGGCUCGCUGGAGCCUGGGAUUCAAAAUCAUUUUCCUUAUUUUAUUCAGACUAUUGUAUUUGGUACCGUUUGUCAAAACUGGUUUUUGUGUGCAUCAUAUGAUGCAAAGAGCUACUGGGAAGGGAUAGAUAGGGCUAGUGGAAGGGAAACAACACUACCCCAUCUUUCCUAAAACAUAAGCCCCUCGCAAUUGAGUCUAGCUUUGAUCGUGAAGUUAUUAACUAAGGUUCGUCUGUAAACAAAUGUAAGACGUUUUAAACCUAAAACAUCUUACAUUUGUUUACAGAGGGAGUAAACUUUAAGUUAUAUAUGUCACAAAAAGUACAGUGUUGGAUUUGAAUUCGAAAGAAGUUCCCCGUGACAUAAGUUUUGUGACACUUUGUUAGUCAAAUUAGUGGCCGGAGUUAGGUUUAACUUUGAGGGCCUUACAUUUUAGGAUGAGUAUAUUUCUAAAAAAGAAUAUAUAUACCGCCCGAUGGUCGCAAGGGUGGUUCGUGCUCCCUACCUCUCAACGGCCAUAUAAAGAAAUGCGGCUUUGCUAUUUCUCAGUCAAUUGACAAAUAAUUAAUUAUUUAUAUGUCACCUUGUGAAUCUUAUGAUCCGGUUUCGGGAUUAUUGCAAGUGCAAAAGGAUGGGAAUUUUGAUCCAACAACUAUCAAAACAACUGUUUAUAAGUCAACUUGAGUCAUAGUCACCACAUGAGAAAUACUAGAACAUUUUCAUUCAAAAUUGCCCCGGUGAGUGAGCGACGAGCUUUUUGGGACGGAGAGAGAGAGUAUAUUCACGGAAGUAGCCAUAUUUUGCUCAGCUGCUGCAUGUUUUAGAGAGGACGGACGUGCUAGUGCUACAAAGGCCGGGAAAGCACAGAAAACGAACCUAACCCUCCAAGCGACAUGGCAGUGACAUUUCGCCAAAGCAGAAAAGGAGAAGAAGGGGCUAGCCACUCCUUUCCGGUGCAUCAAAAAAAGAGGAGCAUAGUGCCAAGCAAAGAAUGACAGGCGAUCCCCUAUCCCCUAGACGUGAUUACGAACGCGCACUGCCGUUGCCGUUGCUUUUGGCUUGGCUUCUCGUCUACGUACUGCCGUUGCCGACCUGGCCUAUCGACCUAUCCGUUUCCCUUCUCGUGCUUGCACUGUGCCUGUGCGCCCCUAUCCUAUAUGCGCACUGGCGCGGACUCCUUCCUAUGGUCUAUGGAGCGGGUCCAUGGCCUGCACUGCUGCAACGGCAGCUCCAACGGCCUACGCGAGGGAAGCGGAGGAGAGAGCACGCAGGCCAUACCUUCCCGUGCUUAUCUCCGAUGAAGACGUGGAGCAGGAAGAAGCACAGCCACACCACCAGGAGCACCGCCACGUCCUUCCACGGGAACCCGGAGCCGCCAUUGCGAGCUGCCUGGCCUCCGUCGUCCUGGACGGGCUGCGGGAGGCCGCCGAGCAGCAGGGGCUCCUUGUGGUCGUGACGCGCGGCGGCGGGGGCGCCGGCGCUCUCGGACCGCCAGAUCUUGGCCCCGGCGCGGCACGUCUUGGCGGUGCAGAAGGCGAGGAAGAGCGAGAAGAGCGCGGUGAUGAGCCACUCCGGGAACAUGACGUUGCACACCACGCCGAUGCUGACGCCCAGGAGAAGGCACGGCUGGAACAGCAGCGCGAUGUCGUAGUCGAUCAGCGCCGGCCGCCCCCGCGCGCGCCAGAGGUUGUAGAGCACGUUCGACGCGGCGCCGCCGGUGACCAUAAAGGAGGAGUAGGUGGUGGCGCGCUUCAGGGUCAGCCCCGCCACCAGGUUCAGGAUGGGCAGGAACAGCGACCCGCCGCCGACGCCGCCGGCGCUCGACACGGACGCGGCCAGGAACGCCAGGACCCACGCCAGGACGGUGUGCCGGCGCACGCCGCCGGCGUGGUGCGAGGACGGGUCGGACAGGUAGUGCUCCCGCCAUUGCGAGAGCCGGGCCAGGAGGUGGUGGCCGGGGCGUGACGAGGUGGAAUUGGACGCCGCGGCGGCGGAGAGGAAGCAGACGGAGGUGGCGGCGACGAGGAGAGGGAUGACUCGAGUAGUCCACGACAUGUUUUGUCUCGCUCGCUCUGCUUGUUGCAGGAUGUUUUUGGCGGCUCUGUGUGGGAGGUGAGAGGCGAGAUGCUCGUGCCUUGCGGCUGCAGGUUUUAUAUGCGGGUCGUCUGGGUGUGCGUGACACGAAAAGACUGGGUUAUGAAAAGGAUUUGAAUCGUUACAAAUGCAGAAAAUUAGCUUCAGAUCUAAAGAAAAAGAAGAAGAUGGUAUGCCACUUCAAAACGUCCCCUUUUUUUCGAAUGUCAAAACGUCCCAAUUGCAAAUGUCCACUCAGUUACAUGGAAGUGCAUAUAACACUAAUAUGUUCCUGCAAAUAAAAAUAGUGUAUAACAAUGGUAGCACUGCAAUGUUCCCCGCAAAAUUUUAAAAAAUAAUGACACUUCAAUGUGAUAUAGUACUAGUAUUAUCUUACCUGGCCCAAUUCUAAAGUUCUUUCUUUGUCCGGACUCUGUGAAGAUACCAAAAUGCUCGUUCUCUUCCUCGUUUUAUAGGUUUCUUUGAGACCAGAAGACCAUAUCCGUACAACUAGAUGGCUUGGAGUUGUAAAUAACACUGAAUAAUUGUUUCUCAGUACAACCUUCAUCGACCAAGGUUGUCAACGCUUGAAAUCCUUUUUUUCGCUUUGUGGAUGAGAACAACUACUACGCAAGUGCGUGUGCAGAAUCUGGAAGGGAAUGUAUACCCAGCGAGCAGAAAAAAGCUAAUGGAGAAAAGGAGAUAAUAUGAUCUGAUCAAAAGGUUCCAAGAAACCAGAAAUUGCUAAUGGAGGUCAGAUUCUGUGGAGCCCGAAAUAAAUCAAGAAUCAACUUUUCAAGUUUCAAAAAUUCUGAUUUUUUAUACAUGUACACAGAAUCUUUUGAAACUUACAAGGUUAACCUUCAAUUUUUGCAAAAAUUAAGGUUCCAUUGAGCCAAAAAUCCUCACUCCCAAGAAUGAACUCUUUCGGCCUAGAAAAGGCAAUAUUUCCUUAUCUAUCUUGUGAAUAUUUUCUGAAACCAAUAUUAUGCAAAAUAAUAAUUUACUAGCAACUUAGACUUCGUCAGGAAAUAAUCGUUCCUUGUUUGACUUGGCGAGUAUCGACAGCACAACAUAAUUAAGCGGUGGUAUUGGUCCAGUUGCAACACAGUUUACCAGAACUGACAGGAAAUCUCUAGCAGCUGCCACCAGUAUGGACACAUAUGCACAUAAAUAUUCACAAAUUAAGGGCUAUUAUUGAAAAUGGAAUGAACAAUCUCGUUAUGUACAAGUUCUUGUAAGAUAGAAACCCCAACUUCACAUCACUAGGGCUCCCAUACACGCAGGGACAUAAUUCGACCUCCCUUUCAUCCUUUCCUUGGUAAACUUAUCAUGAAUGCUUAUAAAUAGUGGAGUACUACAGAAGAGAGGCCAAGAACUCCAGAUGGAGAAAUGAAAGAAUUAACAGUUACACACACACGGGAAAGACUUCAGCGAUUCAAGGAGCUCCUCCUCCAGGACCAUCACCAGUGAUCAUCUGCAAGGCAUGCCAACAACCUAUGACCAUUACUUCCAAACGAAAUGGUUCAAGCAAUUUUAGCACCAUAAAACGACACCAG
rnacentral:lncRNA from 1 species